rnacentral:tRNA from 1 species
GGGCGUGUGGUGUUAACGGCAGCACGAUCCACUUGCAAUGAUGAGGUGCGGGUUCAAAUCCCGCCACGUCCACCA